CGAAUGUGUUCUUGGAUAAUCACUCUGGUAUGGUUUUAGAUGUGUAGGUGGAGGUCUAACCCGAUUUCCAGCCGCGGUGCCUGUGGCAAGCCUUCCUUGGGAUCCUAUUCGUUGUGACCGUGGACGAGUUGCUGUAUGGCGUGCUGUGCGAGGUUUAUCAUAGUUGGUAUUUGGAGUGUCAUUGUCGCGCUGCACUUUGCUUGAACCGCACCCCAUCCUGAGCAUUUGUUUGUUUUUUCAUUUGGGCGUUGUUGGCAACCAAUAUCCAUGGAUCGCUCGCUAGAAUGUCAUGUGAUCACACCUAUUUAAACAAGGCAUUACCCGCUAGAUAUCUAGUUACAAGGUAUCUUCCACAUCCAUGAGACGGAGCGAAGCGAGGUCUCUAAUCUGGACUUGUGCAGGUCUACGGAACAGGCCCUAAGAAUCAUACACCGACACAAUUAGCAUAUUUUUAGCGUGCAUAUUAGCAUAGAAGGUACACGAAAACUACUGGUCAAUAUGAGAGAUCGGCUGUAUUAGUGUAUUUAGUGGAAUUUAUAAUCUAUUUGAUCUAGUUAAUCCAGAAGCAAUGUUCGUUGAUCUCGUCCAUUCAGUGCCAGGGCUGUACAGAAAGUGGAUAUUUGGCUUUUUGACAACAUGAAGCUUCAAUAUUGCCAUCUUUCUUUAUACGAAUAUUAAUAUGUUUGGUGUUCUGGCAUUACUUUUAUAUGAGGGGUGAUAACAGUGUGAAGAGUGAAUAGAAGAAAAUAGUAAGUGGAGAUAAUAACUAGUGGUUAUAUGAAGGUGGAUUUGCCUGUGUUCAAACAUGUGUUUCUAUGGUGUUCAGCCAAGGCCCCUGAAUAACCCAUACAUGUUCUGUACA
rnacentral:sRNA from 2 species